rnacentral:rRNA from 1 species
AUUGAACGCUGGCGGCAUGCUUUACACAUGCAAGUCGGACGGCAGCACAGAGAAGCUUGCUUCUUGGGUGGCGAGUGGCGAACGGGUGAGUAAUAUAUCGGAACGUACCGAGUAAUGGGGGAUAACUAAUCGAAAGAUUAGCUAAUACCGCAUAUUCUCUGAGGAGGAAAGCAGGGGACCUUCGGGCCUUGCGUUAUUCGAGUGGCCGAUAUCUGAUUAGCUAGUUGGUGGGGUAAAGGCCUACCAAGGCGACGAUCAGUAGCGGGUCUGAGAGGAUGAUCCGCCACACUGGGACUGAGACACGGCCCAGACUCCUACGGGAGGCAGCAGUGGGGAAUUUUGGACAAUGGGCGCAAGCCUGAUCCAGCCAUGCCGCGUGUCUGAAGAAGGCCUUCGGGUUGUAAAGGACUUUUGUCAGGGAAGAAAAGGCUGUUGCUAAUACCGACAGCUGAUGACGGUACCUGAAGAAUAAGCACCGGCUAACUACGUG